rnacentral:rRNA from 1 species
UACGUAGGCAGCAAGCGUUGUUCGGAAUUACUGGGCGUACAGAGUGUGUAGGCGGUGUUCUAAGUUUGUCGUGAAAUCUCCCGGCUUAACUGGGAGGGUGCGGCGAAAACUGGAAUGCUAGAGGAUGGGAGAGGUAAGCGGAAUUCCUGGUGUAGCGGUGAAAUGCGUAGAUAUCAGGAGGAACACCUGUGGUGUAGACAGCUUACUGGACCAUUUCUGACGCUGAGACACGAAAGCGUGGGUAGCAAACAGG